rnacentral:rRNA from 1 species
GGAUGCGAUCAUACCAGCAUUAAUGCACCGGAUCACAUCAGAACUCUGCAGUUAAGCGUGCUUUGGCGAGAGUAGUACUAGGAUGGGUGAUUCUCGGAAAGUCCUCGUCUUGCAUCCC